CGCUUUGGUUUGUUGACAACAACAAUCUGUCACGCGCUGAUCAGACUUUUUCUAACCUCAGGAAGUUUAAAAAGUUUGUCUGUAGAGAAGAAGUUCUUCGUCCAGUUUAUCAUCUAAUAAUUAAUGUGCCAUCAAGUGGAACAACCGCUGACCUACAAACAACUCAGUGUCUGACUGCGAUGAACCCAGUCAGUUGUUCAGCAGGAAAACUCAGUCCUCGCUGGUUUGUCCGUGAACUUGGGUGAGGUGUCCCUGGAUCCCGGGAACAGCUGACCGACACCAACAUGAACAGGGAGAAGAUGAUCUUGAUCCUUCUGCUCGUUGGCCUGACCUCCUGUGUGUGUGG